CCUACGGGGCGCAGCAGUGGGGAAUAUUGGACAAUGGGCGAAAGCCUGAUCCAGCCAUGCCGCGUGUGUGAAGAAGGCCUUCGGGUUGUAAAGCACUUUCAGUGGGGAAGAAAGCCUUGGGGCUAAUACCCUCGAGGAAGGACAUCACCCACAGAAGAAGCACCGGCUAACUCCGUGCCAGCAGCCGCGGUAAUACGGAGGGUGCGAGCGUUAAUCGGAAUUACUGGGCGUAAAGCGCGCGUAGGCGGUCUGAUAAGCCGGUUGUGAAAGCCCCGGGCUCAACCUGGGAACGGCAUCCGGAACUGUCAGGCUAGAGUGCAGGAGAGGAAGGUAGAAUUCCCGGUGUAGCGGUGUAAUGCGUAGAGAUCGGGAGGAAUACCAGUGGCGAAGGCGGCCUUCUGGACUGACACUGACGCUGAGGUGCGAAAGCGUGGGUAGCAAACAGGAUUAGAUACCCGAGUAGUC
rnacentral:rRNA from 1 species